rnacentral:lncRNA from 1 species
UAUAUAUACACACACACAUAUAUAUAUAUAUAUAUACAUUUAUAUCUAUACACACACACACAUAUACAUUUAUGAAUGUAUGCAUGUAUGUCUACACACACACACCAACACAUGCAAGUAAACAUAUUUUGCCAGCUGAAACACACAUUCACAUAUCAAUAUAUAUGUACACAAACAUACACUGAUGAACACGCGACACUCGUGUGUGAUCAGGUGCAAAAUUUAUUUGUAUAUGUGUGCAUGCACACAUGUUAGUUUUCAUGUGUCAUCACAUUGAUGCCUUUGAGCAAAAUUAUGUUUGUUUGCAUCUCCUCCAACAAAGAAGACCCAUAACUUGUUUGAUGUGAAGACAAGUAGAAUGAAAAUAACUUGGAAAAGGAGUAAAGGUUGGGAACAGGAAGGGAAUCAGUCUGGUUAUAAAGUACUGCCUAAGUGAGUCUCAUCCAACCCAUUGCCAGUACUUGUGUGUUGUGUGUGUUUAUGUAUGUAUGUAUGUAUAUAUGUGUGUGUAAGUGUGUAUGUGUGUGUAUGUGUCUAUCCAUGUGUGAUGGAAACGGGAAUAGUCAGGUUUUCAAUCAGACAAAGUAAACCAUAUUUACAUUAGCUUUUCAAAUUGCUGAUACUAUCUGUUAGCCACAGCUCCUGACAGAGGUGUUAGAAUUUCUCUUAAACAACUCCGAAUGUACAGAGCCACAACAUAUGCUGCAAUGCACAGUAUCUGAUCCACUGACAGUUCUGCCAAACUUUGCUGCCAACAUAUGCUUUACCCAACAUUAUCUCUCUCUCUCUCACACUAUCAUCACCAUCAUCAUUUUAGCGUCCGCUUUCCAUGCUAGCAUGGGUUGGACAGUUCAACUGGGGUCUCGGAAGCCAGAAGGCUGCACCAGGCCCAGUCUGAUCUGGCAGUGUUUCUACGGCUGGAUACCCUUCCUAACGCCAACCACUCCGUGAGUGUAGUGGGUGCUUUUUACGUGCCACCGGCACAGGUGCCAGACGGGGCUGGCAAACAGCCUAUAUAUAUAUACAUAUAUAUAUAUAUAUAUGUAUAUAUUAUUCUUUAAGGAUACUAUUGAUAACGACUUUGAAGUUUCAGCCAGCUUAGCCAUUAUGAGACUGUGAUGCUUUAAGUUCAUCUUGGGUUUAUAUAGUCUUUGUUAAUAUAGAAAAUAUUUUCUGAGUUUUGUGGGGUUUAGUUGAAUGUUUAUUAGGGUAUCAGGUGGGAUGUGAUGGGAAGGUAUUGCUGAGAAAUGUUUAUUGACUAAAUUUAGUGCUAUGAUGUUGUUUUGAAGUUAUUCAUGCAUGAAGAACCUUGUAAGAAGGUGUGUAUAUUUAGGUGUGUCAGCUUCAGGUCAUUAGGGUUGUUUUUAGUAGUUCACAAAAAGAAAAUAGGCAGAGGAAGUCUUUUGGUGCGUGGAUGUGUCAUUAACUUUAGGUCUUAUUGGAUGUAAUCUUUUGCUUUAGCAAUGUAAAGAUCAGAGUCAGCUUUUUUUAUGGAAUUUUUAAGGGUUCACAAAAGAAUGUAAGUGGUAUGUUUUAGUUGGUCAGUAAGUUUUGAAGUCACUGUCAGUACUAUUCUUUUUAAAGAAUAAUAAAUUUGUAUUCUACAAAAGUACGGAGUGACCAUGGCUUGUAUUAUAACUGAGUAUAAAAACAAACAUUAAUAUGUAUGUAUGUGUAUAUUUGUAUAUACCUAGAGGUAAUAUGUGUGUGUGAGUAUCAUCAUUUAACAUCCCUAUUCCAUUGUAGCAUGGGUUGGAUGACUUGACGGGAGCCGAUGAGCCAGAAGACUGAUUUGAGCUCCAAUGUCUGUUUUAUAUAUAUACACACUCUCCUGUAAUGCAGAGAUUCGUGUGUAACAUUAUGUAAUAGAUAUAUGUAUGUGUGUGUAUAUAUAUAUAUAUAUAUAUAUAUAUAUAUAUAUAUGUAUGUAUACAUAUAUGUUAAUGUUUUUCUUUGACAAGAUAAAAUAAAACCAAUUUUACAUUAAACUAAUGGAUUACUCAAUGCUUUUUGUACACUACAUAUUUAUUAUAUUUUUACAAGGAGAGUGGUGAUAGUGACUUUGAAGUUCCAACCUGAUAGCCUUGUGGUACAUUUGAGUUCAUCUUGGCUUUAUAGAGUCUCUGGUAAGUUUUUGUUUUUUUCUGGGUAGGUAGAGAUACUUCGUAUGAUAAUUAAUUUGUAGGAUAAGUUCUGAUGGAAAGAUAUAGAAGGUUUUAAUUGAUUAAAGUUGGAGUUGUUAUUAUUCAGAGUUCAGUGCUGCAUGUAAAAGUUUUUAAUCAGGCGUGUCUAUUUAGGCUUGUCAGAGCAUAUCAACUUCAGGUUUUGGGGUUAACUUUUAAGGGUUCACAACAGAAUGUAAGUUGAUGAAAUGGAUAGUUGGUCAGCAGAUGUGUAACUAGUUUUAAUUGUAUUUUAACAAUAUUUGGGAGAUUUCAUCAGUUUGUUUUUGAAAGGUUGAGCUUAUUGUGCAGAAUGCAGUCAAACAUGUAAAAGUGUUUUUGUUAGGUGUGUCAGCUUUAGGUCAAGGAGCUUUUAGUAUAGAAAUUUGGUUAUCUUGCAUUUUAAGGGUUCACAAAAGAAUGUAAGUGGGUCAGUAGAUUUUUUUAAAAUUGUUGCUGAUGUUAUUUCAACAUUAUUUAGUAGUUUUAGAGAAAGUGGAGGUUAUUUUUUAGAACUCAGUCAAGUAUGUAAAACUUUGUUGUUAAGUGUGUUUAUUUAAGUUAUUCAGCUGUAGGUCAUGGUGUUUAUAGUAUACAAAUUUGUUUGUGGUUUAAGGAUGUAAAUAGGUGGCGAGCUGGCAGAAACGUUAGCACACCAGGUGAAAUGCAUAGCUGUAUUUCGUCUGCUGUUACAUUCUGAGUUCAAAUUCCGCCGAGGUCAACUUUGCCUUUCAUCCUUUCGGGGUCAAUAAAUUAAGUACCAGUUGCGCACUGGGGUCGAUAUAAUUGACUUAAUCCGCUUGUCUGUCCUUGUUUGUCCUCUCUGUGUUUAGCCCCUUGUGGGUAGUAAAGAAGUAGGUUUAAGGAUGUAAGUAGGUGGAAAAGUUAGUUGGUCAGCAGAUUUCCAACUAGGAGUUAAUUGUUCAUGAUGUUAUUUGCUUACUAUUUAGAACAUUUUAACUUUUGUAUUUUGUGAAGGUAAAGAUUCCGGACUAUAUUUUUCUAAACAUUUUUUUCUAUUCAGUUUCAAUCAAGUGGUUAUUUGUAAUGAUUUUUGUAUGAUAUCAUUUUGGACUUAUGAGUGUAUGUAAAUGUGGAGCAUCUUAAAAACAAAUGUUAGGGUAUAAAUAAGAAGCAUAAUAGUGUAAUAAGGUACAUUCUUAGCCCAAAAGAUGUUGACUACAGUAUGAGGGCUGGUGGUGGUGGUGGUGGAACGACAGUUAACUGAAGGAUGUAGGACGCUAUAUUCUGUCUUUUAGUUCACCUAUUGAGAAUAAAAAAAAAGCUUAUCCCAAGUUGUUUGAAGUUUGUGGCAUGUCAUCUCUUUGUACAGUUCAGUGUAAGAACUGAGCUCAUUGUAAACUCAUCUUGUAAGUUUUAUGUCACAUUCACGAUUGGGGUUGUUAUCAGCAAAAAUUUUAGCCUUAUUUUUUGUGAAGAUUAUGGAAUUUCCAUAUUCGUAUUUAUUUGUAUUCUCAACUUGCUCUCGUUCUUACAACAUGAACUCCUUGUAUGUGACACUAACUACUCAACCACACCAUAUAUUCUUUCAAGGACCAUUUAACCCUUUCAUUACCGUAUUUAUUUUGAGAUGCUCUGUGUUUCUUUCAAUUAAUUCGAAAUAUAACAAAGAAUUUAGUAAAAUAACUCAGUCAUCAUCAAGCUAGUGUUAGGAACAUAAAUUGUGACAAAGGUUUGAUGGAAGUUUUUAAUUUUAAACCUAUAAAAACAAGACAUUUGUACGACAGAGCCAGAGCCGGUUUCAGCCGGGUUGGUAUCGAAAGGGUUAAAGUUUCUUACUAUAGGUUUAUCCUCUUUGUUACCUUGAAGUUAGCUAUCACACCUUGAUAUAUUGGUUGGAACAAAGGAGUUAUAUUCUUGCAGAUAUAUUCGAUUCUCACAUUAUCAGGAAGUGCAUUUAAGUUCACCGGGUGGCUUUGUGCAUUGACUAAAAUGAAUAAUACUUUGUCAGAAAUAUUAAAUCUGGCACAGGUACCUUCCUACACAUCAAACCAAAAUAAAAAUCUUUGUAAGCCACUCUUUGAAAAGACUCUUAGUCAUUCAUUACUCAUAUUUGAAUACCAUCAUCAUCAUCAUUUAGCAUCCGCUUUCCAUGCUGGCAUGGGUUGGACGGUUCAACUGGGGUCUGGGAAUCCAGAAGGCUGCACCAGGCCCAGUCUGAUCUGGCAAUGUUUCUACGGCUGGAUGCCCUGAGGCAAAUAAGCUUUGCAUAACCCUUGAAAUACCCUUGGAUUUCAGAGAAAUACAUGAGUAGGAGGCUUUAAUUUCAUAUCACCAGCAGCAUUUCCACCCAGAAGACGAAGCAGAUGAGUUUUGAAAGCUUUAAAUCCUGAUGUUGAUUUUUCUCCUCUUGAAAUAUGAGUGUAGUUUCAUCAACAUUAUAUACUUGUUCCCUUUAGCAAUCUUUUUUUUAUUUUUCAGCUGUUUAGGGUAAUUAGUGGUUGCUUUUAUAUCAGCACUGGAAACUUCAACAAUCAUUUUUAUGUUUUGCAAAUUCAAGCUCUUCUUAAGUCUUUCAAACCAACCUUUACUACCCAGAAAAAGGUUUUUCAUUAGUUUCACAUUUCUUUUUCUGAAAAUUGUCAUAUAAACUUUUAAGUUUUUAUAUAAUUACCACCAUGCUUUUUGGCACAACACAUUGAGUCUGAUCUUCAGUCAGUAUAUCCAAGAGCCGUCCUAUUUUGAGCAUCACAUUAGAGCUAUGAAUAUAAUGAGGCCCAAAUAGUUAACACUUGACUAAAUUUUCUCUUAUUGUUAAGUAUUGUUUUCACUGUAAACAUUGCAAGCUUUAAUGUUUUGGCAAUGUGGCUGUUUUUCUUUUUCCCUAUCCAGCUUUUUUAAAACACCAAGUUUGAUAUUCAAUCUAAUCCUUUUCCAGACAUCUUGCAUUGUGGGCAAAUCCAACAGCAGUGGGCAAUCAACUAUCAUCCACAACAAAUAUGUAGUAAAAGAAUAUAGCACCAGGAAAGAAUAUUUUUGUGAGAGCAAAAAAUAAUUUACCUUAUUACCUUAUAGGCGCAGGAGUGGCUGUGUGGUAAGUAACUUGCUUACCAACCACAUGGUUCCGGGUUCAUUCCCACUGCGUGGCACCAUGCGCAAGUGUCUUCUACUAUAGCCUCAGGCCAACCAAAGCCUUGUGAAUGGAUUUGGUGGACGGAAACUGGAAGAAGCCCGUCGUAUAUAUGUAUAUAUAUAUAUGUAUGUGUGUGUAUAUGUUUGUGCGUCUGUGUUUGUCCCCCCAACAUCGCUUGACAACCGAUACUGGUGUGUUUACGUCCCCGUCACUUAGUGGUUCAGCAAAAGAGACCGAUAGAAUAAGUACUAGGCUUGCAAAGAAUAAGUCCUGGGGUCGAUUUGCUCGACUAAAGGUGGUGCUCCAGCAUGGCCGCAGUCAAAUGACUGAAACACGUAAAAGAGUAAAGAGUAUUCCUGUGGAUGUAAGAAGGUAAAUGAGGUGAGAGGAAGUACUGUCUGAUUACAGUUAGUUCGAUGGUUACCAGGUACGUGUGUACUUAAUCCCUUGCACCUCUGACUUGAACCAUAAAAAAUCCCACACUCACUCACUCACACACACACUAUUGUGCUGACAUACAACAUAGCAAAAAAACAUUGCUAUCAUGCUGAAUACUGUUAUUGUUGUUGCCUUCUGGUUAUUCAAAAGUUGAGGGAUUAAUAGUGGUGGUGGUGGUGGUCGUGGUUGGAUCAGUUUUGGUAUUGGUGAUGAUGGUGAGGAUGGCUGUUUAGUUUCAAAUUAAUCCUCAUUCACCUGAGAUCAAAGACAUUUCAUUCAACAUUUAUAAUACUCUAGAGCAGUGCUUUUCAAACUUUUUGCUGGAGCGAAACCCCAAGGAAACAUUCCACUGGCUUGGAGAACCCCUGUGCAAUAAUUUAAUAGUCUUAUGCACACAUAUCUGCACAGGAAAAUUAAAAAUUACUGCCGAUUUUAGCAGUUUUGUAACUUCUUGCGGAACCCCUGGACUGUACUGGCAGAGCCCUAAGGUUCCGCGGAACACUGGUUGAAAACCACUGCUCUAGAAUACUGUAUCAUCUCAUACUUGCACUUUCUUUCAGAUGGAGUUGCUUAUCUUGUUCAUACCAUCAUUGCUGUUGUUGGUCAUUAAGUAGAUGGUGGUUUGGUAAUGGCAGUAGUUAUAUUGGUUUUGGUGUUGAUGCUGGUUGUUUUGGAACCAGUGCUGGUGAAGGUUAAUUCAUAUAUGUAUGUAUAUAUAUGUAUAUAUAUAUAUAUAUGUAUAUAAGAAAUCGGGAUGACAAAGGAAAUAAACAAUUAUGUUACUAACUUCAUUAGCUUUCAUCUGUUUCUACUAUAUGGUAUAUGUAUAUUGAGUUCUGAC